rnacentral:rRNA from 2 species
GGGGAAUAUUGCACAAUGGGGGAAACCCUGAUGCAGCAACGCCGCGUGAACGAGGAAGGCCUUUGGGUCGUAAAGUUCUGUUCUUAGGGAAGCAGAAAGUGACGGUACCUAAGGAGAAAGCCCCGGCUAACUACGUGCCAGCAGCCGCGGUAAUACGUAGGGGGCGAGCGUUAUCCGGAAUUAUUGGGCGUAAAGAGUACGUAGGCGGCUUCGUAAGCGCAAGGUGAAAGGCAGUGGCUCAACCAUUGUAAGCCUUGCGAACUGUGAGACUUGAGUUCAGGAGAGGAAAGCGGAAUUCCUAGUGUAGCGGUGAAAUGCGUAGAUAUUAGGAGGAACACCAGUGGUGAAGGCGGCUUUCUGGACUGAAACUGACGCUGAGGUACGAAAGCGUGGGGAGCAAACA